GCGUCUGUAGCUCAAUGGACAUAGCGUCUGUUGCUUAAGCAGAAGGUCAUAGGUUCGACCCCUACCUGACACA
rfam:Spinacia oleracea cultivar SynViroflay scaffold46151.con0001.1, whole genome shotgun sequence.